CAAGAUAACAUUCCUUCCACUGUCAGGGCCCAUAUGUGAACCAUCAGACAGACAUGGACAGCGUCGGCUCUCCAGGGAGACGACAUCAGGGUGCUGAGGCAGCGUGUGUCCUGUUAAACAAGUUACUGUCAACAAAACGACAUCUCUGCUUGGUACGGCCUUGAUAGAGUACAGACUUCUGGGAGAGCAAAAGAGCAAUACAACUCCAGCUGAUACUGAGCAACACUACACCGCAUGAACCCGGACCUGGAGAUAACAUGAAACCAACUGGGACUAUAACUAAAUUAUAACUAAAUGAUCUCUAAUGAAUCUCAAUAUAAAUGCAGUUUCAUGCUCCCCGGUCGCCCAGAGGAGGAUGGGGUCUCCUUCUGACUCUAGGUUCCUCUCAAGGUUUCUUCCUGCUAGAGGGAGUUUUUCCUUGCCACUGUCGCCUCAGGCUUGGCUGGUGGGGCUCGGGCCGGUUAAAUGUAAAGUGCUUUGUGACAAUGACUGUUGUUAAAAGCGCUAUAUAAAAAAAUUUGAAUUGAAUAUUCAGUAAACAUAGCCUUAAACAUCUGGUGACGAACAUUCAUCUCUCAUAAGUUUCAAUAUGGGGCUGUGCGGCACCGAGGGCGUAACUGGUUCAGGACGUCAUUCCUUUAACUCCCAGUGCAAUGCAGUGGUCUCCACACGGCCCUGAUUUAAGUCAGGUACGCAAUGUCCCUAAGGGCUAAUUUUAGAUGAAUCAUUACUACAGAGAGCUACAAAAAAAUGCUUGGACUAAAUGCACAUCACUGUCCCCGAUUUUAGAUAUUAUCAGCAAUACUGCUCGCCUGUUUUAUAUUAAACCAGCACCGACCACACAGACAGCAGAGAAGCUGGGACUGAUUUGGCAUGUGCUCUUCUACUCAAGUCAGUGCUUUCAUUUCUAAUCGCAAAACAAUAUGUGGGGUAACUGCCUGCUUUCGAAUGUUUUAUUGAGGCUGCUGCUGAUGGAAUGAAUGAACUUGCAUGAAUAUUAGGGCUGUGACAGGAUUCUCAGGCCAGUGUCGACAUAUUUAGGUCAAGAGACAAUGAACACUGGGCACUAAUGGGGACCUUUUAAAAACCGAGCUGCAUGCUAGGUUCCAUCCAUCCAUCCAUCCAUCUGAGGGUUGCAGAGCCUAUUCUGGAAGCUACAGCCACAAAGCGGGGAAUAACCCAGGACGGGUUAACCCACUGCAGGGUGCACACACACACACGCACACACACACACACACACGGUCAAUUUGGCAACUAACCUACCUCAGCAUGUUCUUUGGAUUGCGGGCAAAACCAGAGAACCCAGAGGAACCCGCACAGGAACAACAUGCAAAUUCCACACACAUUGCACUGCCCACAUACAGGACCAAAGAUCCUCAAAACAAAAAAUUAAAUAAAAAUUACAAAUCUUCUGAGGACAUCUUACGCAAAACUAGAAAACAUUUAUUGUAUAAAACAUGUAAACCAGCUGUAUAAAACAAAAGUGGCAACAUCACAGUGAAACUGGCCAUUAAUGCGAUUUAAUAACCAUGACGUGAGGUGCGCCACACUAGAAGGUCAAAGGUUGGGCGCUAGCAUUCAGCAGUGACUUCCCAUAAAAGAACUGGAAGGUUUUG